rnacentral:rRNA from 1 species
UCGAGAAUCUUCGGCAAUGGACGAAAGUCUGACCGAGCGACGCCGCGUGCGGGAUGAAGGCCCUCGGGUUGUAAACCGCUGUCAGUUUGGAGGAAGGAUCUGUGCAGAGCAGAUCUUGACCGAUAUUCAGAGGAAGGACGGGCUAAGUUCGUGCCAGCAGCCGCGGUAAGACGAACCGUCCAAACGUUAUUCGGUAUCACUGGGCUUAAAGCGUGCGUAGGCGGCCUGGUAGGUCGGGUGUGAAAGCCCACGGCUCAACCGUGGAAUUGCGCUCGAAACCAUCAGGCUUGAGGAAGACAGGGGUGUUGGGAACUUAUGGUGGAGCGGUGAAAUGCGUUGAUAUCAUAGGGAACACCGGUGGCGAAGGCGCAACACUGGGUCUUUUCUGACGCUGAGGCACGAAAGCUAGGGUAGCGAACGGGAUUAGAUACCCCCGUAGUCC